CAUCACUCUGACAGCAUGCAGAAGGAAGACGCCUUGCGGAUUGCUGCGAGUGGCUUCCAGGAGGCUCGGGGAUGAGCUGCAAAAUGAGGAAUUAUUUAUCCGUGAAAAUGAAGGCUGAGAAGCGGAGAAGGAGGCUGACAUCUCCUGGGAGACGACAUCGGAGGAGGGACAUGUGAAUGAGCGAUUCUGCAGAACUUCAGAGCUCGUCCAGAAACUGAAAUGGAGCAUAGUGAAGGUUCAAAGAAGACCAGGUGGAGGACAAGGCUGGCCAAGACCAAAAGAAUGUGGGAACCUGCUUUAUGAGGUGUUGCUGGACCAGGACUACAGGCUUCUGCUCAUAAGGUCAGUCAUUAGCCCACCCAAAUCCUCCUGCCUUUUUCACCAAUGAGCCCUCCAGGUUCUCUGCGGUCGAAAGUGGAUCUGUUUUUAGGUGCUUACAUGACUUUUCCACUUUCCUUUUAUGUUCUGUUGAGGCUUUCCUUCAACAAAAGAACAAGAAACGGAUUUCAGAAUGGAUCCCCCUCUGAGACAAGUGAAGUCAUAGCAGUCUGCUUUUCUGAUUUCUUUUUCAGCAAUAUUUCCUCAAUAUUAUCAACUUAGAACGUAAG